GGUCCAGGAUGGUAACAGUUUAGGAAAUAAUUCAUCCGCCUCUCACCAAUUUUUGCUCUGAUUUUAUUUUUUGGUGUGGUCCAGACAUCUGCUGGAAGAGAGAAGGACUUUUAAUAUUUACAGUGAAACCUUUUAAAGGCAACGGCGAAAUCUGAAGCCACCUGGGAGUACAGUGCUGGAAACGUAGGGUGUUUUCCCAAAAACAAUGUGAAGGCCUUUUUCCU